GGAUCUGAAACAACAGCGAAUGGACAGCGAAUACCCAGAACAUGCGCUGAUCUCAAGCACUCAACAGCCUUUCCCUUCUGAUCGCUCAGGACUUUCGCUCCUCUCUCUCUCUCUCUCUCUCUGUUGGACAUUGGGGUUUGAGAAGAAUGAGACACUGGAUUCUCACAAAAAAUUCCUGCUCCGGAUCCCGAAUGUUGACCAGGAGA